GAUGAACGCUGGCGGCGUGCCUAAUACAUGCAAGUCGAACGAAACUUCUUUAUCACCGAGUGCUUGCACUCACCGAUAAAGAGUUGAGUGGCGAACGGGUGAGUAACACGUGGGCAACCUGCCCAAAAGAGGGGGAUAACACUUGGAAACAGGUGCUAAUACCGCAUAACCAUAGUUACCGCAUGGUAACUAUGUAAAAGGUGGCUAUACUACCGCUUUUGGAUGGGCCCGCGGCGCAUUAGCUAGUUGGUAGGGUAAAGGCUUACCAAGGCAAUGAUGCGUAGCCGAAUUGAGAGGUUGAUCGGCCACAUUGGGACUGAGACACGGCCCAAACUCCUACGGGAGGCAGCAGUAGGGAAUCUUCCACAAUGGGCGAAAGCCUGAUGGAGCAACGCCGCGUGGGUGAAGAAGGUCUGCGGAUCGUAAAACCCUGUUGUUAGAGAAGAAAGUGCGUGAGAGUAACUGUUCACGUUUCGACGGUAUCUAACCAGAAAGCCACGGCUAACUACGU
rnacentral:rRNA from 1 species